GCACAUUGGUGAUCUCUUAACAGCCACCCAAUGCCCACCUUAUCCGAAAACCAUAUCCAUUGUUGCAUCGAAAUUGCAUUUUAAAACACCACAAUUUGGAGGCUUCCAUUUGACAAUAUGGGAAACAGGUGAAACACUAGAAGGAUCAAGCGGACAAUGAACCAAUUUCCAAUCAUGCAAGUCACAAUCUUAUUCAACAUCCAUGUAAUGGCACUAAAAAAAAAAAACACACUUUUUUCGGUUUGUAUUAUCGUUGCGACGAUCAAGAACUUAGUAGUAAGAUUUUAAGCCUCAUGCAAAUGCUGCUCGUUUGGGCUUAGGGGGAU
rnacentral:misc_RNA from 1 species